rnacentral:rRNA from 1 species
GAUGAACGCUGGCGGCGUGCCUAAUACAUGCAAGUCGAGCGAACGGACGAGAAGCUUGCUUCUCUGAUGUUAGCGGCGGACGGGUGAGUAACACGUGGAUAACCUACCUAUAAGACUGGGAUAACUUCGGGAAACCGUAGCUAAUACCGGAUAAUAUUUUGAACCGCAUGGUUCAAAAGUGAAAGACGGUCUUGCUGUCACUUAUAGAUGGAUCCGCGCUGCAUUAGCUAGUUGGUAAGGUAACGGCUUACCAAGGCAACGAUGCAUAGCCGACCUGAGAGGGUGAUCGGCCACACUGGAACUGAGACACGGUCCAGACUCCUACGUGAGGCAGCAGUAGGGAAUCUUCCGCAAUGGGCGAAAGCCUGACGGAGCAACGCCGCGUGAGUGAUGAAGGUCUUCGGAUCGUAAAACUCUGUUAUUAGGGAAGAACAUAUGUGUAAGUAACUGUGCACAUCUUGACGGUACCGAAUCAGAAAGCCACGGCUAACUACGU